rnacentral:rRNA from 1 species
CCUACGGGAGGCAGCAGUGGGGGAAUUUUGGACAAUGGGGGCGAACCCCUGAUCCAGCCAUUCCGCGUGAGUGAAGAAGGCCUUCGGGUUGUAAAGCUCUUUCGCAAGGGAAGAAAACUUAUGAUCGAAUAAAUCAUGAGGUUGACGGUACCUUGAUAAGAAGCACCGGCUAACUACGUGCCAGCAGCCGCGGUAAUACGUAGGGUGCGAGCGUUAAUCGGAAUUACUGGGCGUAAAGCGUGCGCAGGCGGUUUUGUAAGUCGGGAUGUGAAAUCCCCGGGCUCAACCUGGGAACUGCGUUCGAAACUGCAAGGCUAGAGUGUGUCAGAGGGGGGUAGAAUUCCACGUGUAGCAGUGAAAUGCGUAGAGAUGUGGAGGAAUACCAAUGGCGAAGGCAGCCCCCCUGGGAUAACACUGACGCUCAUGCACGAAAGCGUGGGGAGCAAACAGGAUUAGAUACCCUGGUAGUCCACGCCCUAAACGAUGUCAACUAGUUGUUGGUAGAGUAAAACUCUAUGAGUAACCGUAGCUAACGCGUGAAGUUGACCGCCUGGGGAGUACGGUCGCAAGGNUUAAAACGUUCAAAAGUGUUAGUUACGGAGNGNGAGNGCGACGACGACGACGAGGAGGAGGAG